AAGAUUCAGAUUUGUAUAUGUGGUGUUUUGGUUUUUUCUAGUCAUAAUAAACUUCUGAGGAAGAAAACCAAGUUUUCAGGAGUAUUCUAGGAACGGCAGCAGAAAUCAGAAGAGAUCAUGGCUUCCAGGUUAAAGACCUUUGCUCAACUUUCUGCUGCUCUGAGUUAAUCUUUCUCCACCCAGCCAUCGGAGUGACCAGCACAGGAAUUUCCCAAUACUUUGGCAUUUCAUUUCAGAGAACUGGACCCCAACCAGUCUGCAGCAGUGCUGGAUGUUGCAAUGCAGUUCCAGACUUUCCCCAGGCUCCCUGUGGAGUAACCAGUGCUUCACCUACAGUUGCAGAGACCCAUUUUGAGGGAAACUGGAUUUUUUUUUCCCCCAGAAAUACAACUCACAGACACCAAAUAAGUGAUGUUUCUGCUGUGAUUAAAAGUAGCACUUUCUAGGUUUUUUUCUGCUUGUUUUGAACAACAUGUGGCAUUUUGGUUUUGGGUUGGUUGCUUUCUUUUUAAUAUGAGGUCUUCCUGACCUAAUACUGUCCUCUUUUAUUCUGAUUAAGCAUAUUGUCAUAUAUCUUCUGUAGACUUCAAAUGCACAUCUGUACUUUCAGAGCAGGUCUGAGUAGCAUAAGGAGUUUGCACACAGGAUGCUGAUAUAAUUUUACAGGUCAUUUUUAGAUACCUACUUUCCCCAAAACAUGUUCUACAACUAGGGCAGACUCUGAACUAGUAGUAGUAUUUUUGUCAUCUUUAUACUGUGUGCAUGUACCAGUCCCAAACAAGGAAUUACUAUUUACAUAACAGGACUGGGAUUAGGAAUCAGCAUUUUAGGAAACCAUUCUUGCCAUGACAGAUUUGCAGUCCAAGACAGAUUUAAGCAAAAAAGAUGUGUCAUCAGCUGGUAACCACGAGGGUGUAAGGAGGAGAGGGCAAGACACAGAAUGUUUUCCAAAUUUGAUUUCAUGGUGGUUUUCUGCUGCUGGACGGAACAUCCAGCCAAAAUCAGUAAAAUUACCUGGUUCCUCACUUUUGUGAAGUAUUUAUACUGAACAUUGCUUCCUAAACCCCCAAACUAUUACUUCAGACUUCCAAAACGUUCUAAUAGAACAGAAGUG
rnacentral:lncRNA from 1 species